rnacentral:rRNA from 1 species
AAUCAACGCUGGCGGCGUGCCUAACACAUGCAAGUCGAACGCGAAAGGGGCUUCGGCCCUGAGUAGAGUGGCAAACGGGUGAGUAACACGUGGGUGACCUACCUUCAAGUGGGGGAGUAACGUUACCGAAGGAACGACUAAUACCGCAUAUUGUCCGUCUUUAGUACAGACGACGAUGAAAGACCGGGGAGUCGCAAGACCUGGCGCUAGGAGGAGGGGCCCGGCCGUCCGAUUAGCUAGUUGGUGAGGAACGGCUCACCAAGGCGACGAUCGGUAG